rnacentral:rRNA from 1 species
GCGGCGAUGAGCGGCUAGCUCAAUUUGAAUCUGGCGCCUUCGGUGUCCGAGUUGUAAUUUGAAGAUUGUAACCUUGGGGUUGGCUCUUGUCUAUGUUUCUUGGAACAGGACGUCACAGAGGGUGAGAAUCCCGUGCGAUGAGAUGCCCAAUUCUAUGUAAGGUGCUUUCGAAGAGUCGAGUUGUUUGGGAAUGCAGCUCUAAGUGGGUGGUAAAUUCCAUCUAAAGCUAAAUAUUGGCGAGAGACCGAUAGCGAACAAGUACAGUGAUGGAAAGAUGAAAAGAACUUUGAAAAGAGAGUGAAAAAGUACGUGAAAUUGUUGAAAGGGAAGGGUUUGAGAUCAGACUCGAUAUUUUGUGAGCCUUGCCUUCGUGGCGGGGUGACCCGCAGCUUAUCGGGCCAGCAUCGGUUUGGGCGGUAGGAUAAUGGCGUAGGAAUGUGACUUUACUUCGGUGAAGUGUUAUAGCCUGCGUUGAUGCUGCCUGCCUAGACCGAGGACUGCGAUUUUAUCAAGGAUGCUGGCAUAAUGAUCCCAAACCGCCCGUCUUGA